UAGAUGGCUGAAAGUAAGCAUUGGAAUUUUAAACCAAUUUAUAGUAACUAACAAAUACUUCUAAUGA
rnacentral:tRNA from 1 species